CCUCCCUCACAUGGUUGUAAAUAUACACAAUAACAUCAUGAAAUUAAAGAAAAAUAUGGAUAAUAAAAACGUCAAUUACAAAUUAACUAUAUCAAAUUUGUUUCCAUAAUUUCAGCAUUUUAAUUAUAUAUACAUAUUAGAUGAGCUGUACUUUUGAAAGAUAAAUGAGAAUUGGGUAGGCAUAGCUAUAGACUUCCUCAAUUUGGUGUCUUGAAUCGAUAACCUCUCUUGUUUAGGCAAUGACAUUAACGAAAGUUGAUGAUGACUUGAUGUUUAGGUAAGGGAUGUCUUGUGUUUAUGCUGCAGCGGAUACCUGAUUUUUCGAGUGGGUGGGUGAGUUCCAUUGCUAAAUCGUAGUCUUAUUGAAGCUUCUUUUCUUUUCAAGGGGCAAAAUAAAAAUGGGGACGCAGGCAAUAUCUAUUUCAUGGAGAAAGAUACGUUCGCAAGCCAAGAAGGAAGUAUUGAACUAAUAUUCAAGUGAUCAAAUACAAUUUUCAUGCGCCUUCUUCUUAAUACAGGAAAUCAAGAUCUAAACCUGAAAUUUCUACACAUGCUUCACAACAGAAAUGAUAUCACUAAAAUUACUCCAAUUCCUAUCCUCAAAUAUAAUAAAUUUAUUUUCUUCUUUUGGCAGAAUAAAUUACAAAUGCAGUACAGCAGCAAUAAACAAAAACCCAAAUUGGGUGUUUAAUUUAAAGAACCUGCCUAUCAGCAGCUUCUGCAACAAUGGGCAACCUAGGAACCUGACCCAGCAAACAAGAACUAGAUCCAUAAAUCAGACAAACCAAAAGGUAAAGAAAUACAGUACUGUCCAAACUCAUCAACAAAUCCAAUCCCAAUCCAUCUCUAGGAUUAAAACUCCUCUCCAGCAAAUCUGGAAAAAUAAGAAGCACAUCGAGCACAAUAGCCUGCAUGAUAUUGAACCUCACAUAUCUACUAAAAUUGGGAUUUCUCACAACAACAAAGUAAAGAGUAAGAAAUACCAAAAACCCAUUAAGGGGAAAGCUCUUGAAGACUCUUAUAGCCGGGAACAAAGGCUGGAUAAGAGCGUGAAUGGGAGAGAACUGGGUUAUCACGUAUUUUCCAUACUGGACUCCAUCAAAAAAUGGGUAAAAGUAGCAGACUGCAGAGAUUAUUCGGUCUCCGGUAUCUGCUGAGUCACCGCCGUUGUAUUUGGCCGUGAUGAUUUUAGUAGGUCUUUUAGGUUUACUGAAUUGGGUUCUGUGUGUUUUGAUUUGGGUUGUUAGAGAGAGAAGAGACGGGCCUUUUAGAGAGAUAAGAAAGGGUUUGUGCAAGAGAGAGAGAGCAGACAUGGCUACGGUCAGUAAGGUAGAGGCUAGAUGGCU
rnacentral:misc_RNA from 1 species